UGGGGUAUAGCCAAGUGGUAAGGCAACAGACUUUGACUCUGUCAUUCGUAGGUUCGAGUCCUGCUACCCCAGCCA
rnacentral:tRNA from 1 species